rnacentral:rRNA from 1 species
UGGGGAAUUUUGGACAAUGGGGGCAACCCUGAUCCAGCCAUCCCGCGUGUGCGAUGAAGGCCUUCGGGUUGUAAAGCACUUUUGGCAGGGAAGAAACGGUCCGGGAUAAUACCCUGGGCUAAUGACGGUACCUGCAGAAUAAGCACCGGCUAACUACGUGCCAGCAGCCGCGGUAAUACGUAGGGUGCAAGCGUUAAUCGGAAUUACUGGGCGUAAAGCGUGCGCAGGCGGUUCGGAAAGAAAGGUGUGAAAUCCCAGGGCUUAACCUUGGAACUGCACUUUUAACUACCGGGCUAGAGUACGUCAGAGGGGGUAGAAUUCCACGUGUAGCAGUGAAAUGCGUAGAGAUGUGGAGGAAUACCGAUGGCGAAGGCAGCCCCCUGGGAUGAUACUGACGCUCAU